rnacentral:rRNA from 1 species
CAAUAGCGUAUAUUAAAGUUGUUGCGGUUAAAAGACUCGUAGUUGGAUUUCUGCCGAGGACGACCGGUCCGCCCUUUGGGUGAGUAUCUGGCUUGGCCUGGGCAUCUUCUUGGAGAACGUAGCUGCACUUGACUGUGUGGUGCGGUAUCCAGGACUUUUACUUUGAGGAAAUUAGAGUGUUUCAAGCAGGCUCACGCCUUGAAUACAUUAGCAUGGAAUAAUAAGAUAGGACCUCGGUUCUUAUUUUGUUUGGUUUCUAGAGCUGAGGUAAUGAUUAAUAGGGAUAGUUGGGGGCGAUUCGUAUUUAACUGUCAGAGGUGAAAUUCUUGGAUUGUUUAAAGACGGACUACUGCGAAAGCAUUUGCCAAGGAUG